GAAAAGUGGUCUUGAUGACUAAAAAUGUCCAAUUACUAUGACAUGUGAAGACUAUCUUUAAAAAUGUUGAGCAGUUACUAAAAAUGCCAUCUUUCUUCCAUCUUCUGUACAUGAUCGAAAGUGGUAUUUUCGGCGGGCAUCUGUUAGCCUGAAAAUUUUAGCUGAAGAAUUCAACAAGGAAUGGUAAUACCCACGUUUGAAAAUGAUAAGUGUCAAGAGUCUCAAAUAUAGCAUUGACAUAUUAACCAUGUCGACUAAAGAUGGUUCAACAACCUUGUCAAAU
rnacentral:lncRNA from 1 species